rnacentral:lncRNA from 1 species
CGUGGAAACGAUAUCUUUGCUCACCAUAACUAUACUAUUAAUUGAUGGAUGCAAUUGUCUAGUCAAAUUUUUAGUUAGUUUAAGACACAUCAGCACUCUCUAGCCUUUGAGCCUUACAUGCACACUAAGAGUGCACUCUCUAAGCAUACUAAGGGUUGGGAGAAUGCUAGGAGAUGUAUUUUGUAAGGCCCAAUUUUUACCUGGGCCCAUACCAAAACCAAAAUAAUAAAUAAUAAAACCAAUAAACUAACAGUCCAUUUUACAGCAGUCCAAUUACAGAUAAAUUUAUGGCCCAAAUUAUAUAACCCAUAAUGCUAUAGACCCAAAUUCCAAGCCUGAUUGUCAAGCCCAAUACCCAAUGGCCUAAGACACCAAUUGAUACACUCAUUAACCCAAACAAGCCCAAAUCAGAAUUAACCAAACCUUAACAGCCCAAGCCCAAAACAGAAAUAAACCCUAUCCUCAGCAAAAGAGCACAGGAACCCCAGCCUUGCGCCGCAGCAACAGCACCACCACUGUACGGCCUCCGUACCCUCCGUACACCUCCAUGUCGCUUUAGUACCUGCAAGAAGACAAAUACGACAGCAGCAAAGAAAAAAAAACAAAAUUUAUAUUUUUCCUUUUUCUUCUUCUUUUCGGCUAUCAAAGGCUAGGAAUCAAGCUAUAUUUUUUUUGGAGAACGUACGAAUACGAUACAAAAAAAUCAAUAAAUUCAGAAAACAAAAAGUUUUAAAAGGUGGUGCCUUUAUCUUUUGUUCAAUUUUUUAUCGUUAUUUCUCUUAUUUUUAUUGAUUAGAAAAAAUAAAAUAUAAAAAGGGGAGGAAAAGAGAGUGAAAAUCUCACCUGGGUUCGUCCGUCGCCACCACGGUGGUUUCUUUCGCCGGAAUCAGCGCCCGGAUGAAGGGGAGUUUGAGAGCAUCUCAAGGGCGUUUCAAUUUUUUUUAAGGGUUAACAGAA